rnacentral:rRNA from 1 species
UACGUAGGGGGCUAGCGUUGUCCGGAAUCAUUGGGCGUAAAGCGCGUGUAGGCGGCCUGCUAAGUCUGAUGUGAAAGCCCGAGGCUCACCCUCGGAAGCGCAUUGGAAACUGGCAGACUGGAGUCCCGGAGAGGAGGGUGGAAUUCCUGGUGUAGCGGUGAAAUGCGCAGAUAUCAGGAGGAACACCAAUGGCGAAGGCAGCUCGCUGGGACGUGACUGACGCUGAGACGCGAAAGCGUGGGGAGCGAACAGG